GACGAACGCUGGCGGCGUGCUUAACACAUGCAAGUCGAACGAAGUGGCGAACGGGUGAGUAACGCGUAAUCAACCUGCCCUUCAGAGGGGGACAACAGUUGGAAACGACUGCUAAUACCGCAUACUGAAGGAGGGGAUUGCGUCUGAUUAGCUAGUUGGAGGGGUAACGGCCCACCAAGGCGAUGAUCAGUAGCCGGUCUGGGAGGAUGAACGGCCAAACUGGAACUGGGACCCCGUCCAGACUCCUAUGGGAGGCAGCAGGGGGGAAUAUUGGACAAUGGGCGAAAGCCUGAUCCAGCCAUGCCGCGUGUGUGAAGAAGGUCUUCGGAGUGGAAAGCACUGUUAAUCGGGACGCGGUACCGGAAUAGAAAGCCACGGCUAACUACGUGCCAGCAGCCGCGGUAAUAC
rnacentral:rRNA from 1 species